rnacentral:lncRNA from 1 species
GGGGUGUUAGCGAUGAGCUGUCUGGUGCCCAGGGAGCUCUGGCUGCCCCAGGUUCUUCCCCCGCCCGGAGACAACCCCGAUCCCCAGGUCGCCGCUGUGAUGACGAAUGCACUCGACGCUCUCCCGCCCGUUGGUGACCUGCAAGUCUUCUCUACAGGUCUUACAGAGGCGCUGCGUCUGCAGUGUACGGGCAACAGGCGCAGCAACAGCAGCAGCGAUG